AGAGCCUGCAUGGUUAAGGGCUUGGAAGCAUUUCACAGUAAGGUCUACACCUCUUGUUUUCGGCGCAUGUGACAAAUACAACUUGAUUUGAUUUGAUCAUAGAGGUUAAAGAGAAAUACUGAGGAUUCAGAAACACCAUUUCCCCAUGUAACCUCAGUCCCCAUGUAACCCAGGUCCCCAUGUAACCCAGGACUCCAUGUAACCCAGGUCUCCAUGUAACCCAGGACUCCAUGUAACCCCAGGACUCCAUGUAACCCAGGACUCCAUGUAACCCAGGUCCCCAUGUAACCCACGCCCCCAUGUAACCCAUUUCCCCAUGUAACCCAGGACUCCAUGUAACCCAGGUCCCCAUGUAACCCAGGUCUCCAUGUAACCCCAGUCACCAUGUAUUUCCCCAUGUAACCCAGGUCCCCAUGUAACCAUGUAACCCAGGUCCCCAUGUAACCCAUUUCCUCAUGUAACCCAGGACUCCAUGUAACCCAGGUCCCCAUGUAACCCAGGUCCCCAUGUAACCAUGUCACCCAGGUCCCCAUGUAACCCAGGUCUCCAUGUAACCCAGGACUCCAUGUAACCCAGGUCCCCAUGUAACCCCAGUCCCCAUGUAACCCAGGUCCCCAUGUAACCCAGGUCCCCAUGUAACCCAGGACUCCAUGUAACCCAGGUCCCCAUGUAACCCAGGUCCCCAUGUAACCCAGGUCUCCAUGUAACCCCAGUCCCCAUGUAACCCAGGUCCCCAUGUAACCCCAGUCCCCAUGUAACCCAGGACUCCAUGUAACCCAGGUCUCCAUGUAACCCAGGUCUCCAUGUAACCCAGGUCCCCAUGUAACCCAGGACUCCAUGUAACCCAGGUCUCCAUGUAACCAAAAUCCCCAUGUAACCCAGGUCCCCAUGUAACCAUGUAACCCCAGUCCCCAUGUAACCCCAGUCCCCAUGUAACCCAGGUGCCCAUGUAAACCAGGUCCCCAUGUAUUUCCUCAUGUAACCCAGGUCCCCCAUGUAACCCAGGUCCCCAUGUAACCCAGGUCCCCAUGUAACACCAGUCCCCAUGUAACCCCAGUCCCCAUGUAAACCAGGUCCCCAUGUAUUUCCUCAUGUAACCCAGGUCCCCAUGUAACCCAGG
rnacentral:lncRNA from 1 species